CCGAUCAGGAUGGAGAAGCAGGGCACGUGCAUUACUCACUCGUGGAAGUCCUAACACAACACCACCGGUGGCUGUGUCUGAGUGAGUGGGUUGUUCAUGUGCCCCUCUUCUCCAUCCUGACCAC
rnacentral:pre_miRNA from 2 species